AGGUCACUUUUAGUUAUUUGAAACCAACACGGUUUGGAGAGUAAUUGUGUAAUUGAUGGAUGGACAAGUUUUAGAGCGUCUACAUACUUUUUCUCACUACAUCUUAUAAAUUAACAUACAAGCCCACCCAUAUAUGCUCUUGAUCAAUGAAUAAUGAAAAACAAAAACGAUAGAAAGAACAAAGGGAUAUUGAUCUAAAUAAAACCAGAAGAUCCAGAGAUUUAGGCUCAAAAUCCAACAAAACUUUACGGACUAGAUAAGAAUUAUUCGACAAUUAUGUGUUCCAUAAGUCCUCCAAAUCUCAACAAUAACCUCAGUUGCCCUAAACCUAAUAUAUAUCCAACUAAAGUUUUAAGUCCAAUAAGAAUAAGAACACAAACUCAAGAGCUUGUAAAAGAUUUAACUUUCACUCAUGUCAAUUCUUCCUGAGGUGAAAAGAACUUGGAUUUGACAGCAAAACUCGGUUAUAUUAAUCAAAAAAUCAAGGAUCAACUACAUUCAACUAUGUUCAGAUAUUCAAGUGCUUUUUAGAAGGUUUGACCAACAAUUUACUUAAAACCGUCAAUAUUCACUAAUCCACAUGAAUGAACUUCCAAUGUAAAGAACUUCAAAAACUUCUUUUGGCUUCUUGGCCAACUAUACGCGACGCCAAAUGUAAGGUUGAUUUGAAAACAUCUAACAAAUCCACCACAGAAGCAUUGGAAAUAAUUUUCUUUAAAAUUUGUACGGACAAUCUUCCUUGAAUUGUGCACAUGAUAAGUCCCCUUUUGAAACCUUUAUUUUCUCAAAUGGGCCAUUGCUUGAUCACCUUCCGCAAAUUCCUUGAAUUUAUGGUGAUGAUCCUAUGCAUGACUACUGAGGAUCGUUGGCUGCUCUGCCACUAACUAGUUGUUAGACAAGUUUUAACCAACAAAAUAAUAAAUUAGGUUUAAAGAACCAAGAGUCUCGGAAAAGAUCAAAGCAAAAACAAUAGAUUUGGUACUUUAGCCUCAAAACACAAUUAUAAUUACCGGAACUACAAAAUAAGAAAUUAAGAAUUGUUAUAGCAUUUUCAUUUAUAGGCUCUCUCUAUACCCUAAAGUUCCAAAUAUCCUCUUCAGUUGUAUUUAGAAAAUUAAAUCACUAGAAAAACUAAUGCUAUAGAAAACUAAAAGAUAAUACUAAAUUAAGAUUGCAAAUAAAGCCUAAUCUAUAACCCACUAAAGUACAAUUCUAAUAAGAAUACAAAUACAAAUACAAAUACAGCAAUGACAUGUAAAAUUUUAACUCUGGCUCAUGCAUUACUAAUACAUUAUUAAUUGCCAGUUCUAGCCACCAGAAUAUUCUGUUUUCAGGCAUCAGAUACUACUAAGCAUAUGCUAUCAAAUGUAACUUUGGCACCCCUCUUUUCACCACAUAAAG
rnacentral:lncRNA from 1 species